CCUACGGGCGGCAGCAGUAGGGAAUAUUGCUCAAUGGGGGAGACCCUGAAGCAGCAAAGCCGCGUGGAGGAUGAAGGUUUUCGGAUUGUAAACCUCUUUUGUUAGAGAAGAUAAUGACGGUAUCUGACGAAUAAGCACCGGCUAACGCCGUGCCAGCAGCCGCGGUAAUACGGAGGGUGCAAGCGUUACUCGGAAUCACUGGGCGUAAAGCGCGCGUAGGCGGGAUAACAAGUCAGAUGUGAAAUCCUAUGGCUUAACCAUAGAACUGCAUUUGAAACUGUUAUUCUUGAGUAUGGGAGAGGUAGGUGGAAUUCUUGGUGUAGGGGUAAAAUCCGUAGAGAUCAAGAGGAAUACUCAUUGCGAAGGCGACCUGCUAGAACAUAACUGACGCUGAUGCGCGAAAGCGUGGGGAGCAAACAGGAUUAGAUACCCUAGUAGUC
rnacentral:rRNA from 1 species